rnacentral:tRNA from 1 species
GGCCCCGUUGUAUAGCGGCCUAGUACGCCGCCCUCUCAAGGCGGUAGCGCGGGUUCGAAUCCCGUCGGGGCUACCA